AGGCACAGUAGAAAAACUUAAUAUCAUUGGAGAAGUCGAGUACUCGUCGAAAACUGAGGAAAGGUUCGAAACGCUCCAAAAAGGAUAUGUGAUGAGCAAGGUAAAAUGGAGCAUGAUCACAUAAACCAAAUUGAGGUGAAAAUUAUGUUCGAAGAUGAUAGACAGAUGCAAUUCUGCAAACAAGGCAGCAUGGCAAUUGAGGUCGCAGCGCUGAAGGGACCACCGCCGCAGUGCUGUAAGGUUAUGGCUGUGGUGCUGGCCUGGAUGGGUGCAUCAUACUAAAGGUUGAGAGCACGGCACCGCAACAUUGCAAAAGCUUGUUACAGUGCUAUAGCACCAUCUUGAUUUCCAAAAUUAAGCUUUUGACAAAAAAUUGGAAAGUAGGGCACCUUGCACAUAUUUAAGAGCCUUUUUUAGAGCAUUCAGAGAGAGAGACGACAAUAGCUUUUCUAGAGAAUUGGAGCUACGAAUCAAUCAAGAA